CAAGUGCACCGCUGGGUAGCUACGUAUGGCAGGGAUAAACGCUGAAAGCAUCUAAGCGUGAAGCCCCCCCGAAGAUGAGGUUUGCUUGUCGUAAGACGAAAGACCCCUGGAAGACCACCAGGUUGAUCGGCCGCGCGUGUACGGGCAGAAAUGCCUUCAGCGGAGCGGUACGAACGGUCGAAUGUCUGAUCACC
rnacentral:rRNA from 1 species